CCUCGCCCACCUGUCCAGCCUAUCCUGUAGCAGUGUUCAGGUGUUGGUGACUUGGAAAGAACCAGAGGGUGGCCUAUGUGCCUUCUGUUCACGAGUGAUGGAAACAGAGGAGGGAGCAAGGAAGAUGCCUGAGGCACUGCCGACAGAACACUCAAAAUACUUGCAAGUCUCCAGCAUAGGAAACCCAGAAGUGUGAUGCGUUGCCAGGACUCUUAACCACAGAUCAUCCUCAACUCGACUGCAUUUCUUUAUCUGGGAUGACCGGAAGCUGGAUAUAACCCUGCUGAGAGAGAAAACGUCACUCACGCAAAGGUCGUUCCUGGUAAUGAGGUGAUGUGAUCCGAAAUGGAGGGAUUCUGUGAGGUUAUGUGGCCCAUGACUCACGGUGACUCACAUCCCACACUGAAUUUGGGACAAAUCCCUUCCUGAUGCCAGCGGAGGCUUCCGUGGGUAAUUUAAUCAACUGGGCCACCUUAUCCUGUUGCCAUCACAUCAUUUACCAAGAUUUAUGCAAAAGAAAAAAAAGAUCUUUGUGCAGGCUCCUAAACUUUCAAGUUGACAACAGACACCCCUUUCAGACAGACAUUGUAAGAAGAAAACUAUGAGGACACCAAGGCUACAGUCCAGUUCCCUGCUCCGACAUGAGAGGCCUCGAAGGAAUCACUCUUCCCAACAAACUCAGUUGUCAGUUGUUGUGCCCAAAGGGCUCAGUCCACCCUGUGUCCCCCCAGAGAGGAUGGUGUUUAUGUAAGUUUAUUUUUCUUUAGUGUAUAAAGUACUGAAGAAAUGUACAAAUACUCCAAAGAUCCAUGCCACCAUUAAGAAAGAAAAAGAUCAAAGUCAAACAAAAACCUAUGGACACACCUAUAUAUAUGAUCUUAUUCACUCAUUACUGGCAAGAUUCUGACAUAAAUUCUAAUUCCAGCUUAUUUUGUCCUUUCUAAUCUAUGUUGUGAUUUUCCAAAGUACAGUUUAUGGAUUACAAUGGCUUCCCCCCCCCAUAACUUCCCUCCCACUCGCACCCCUCCCAUCUCCCGCUCCCUCUCCCCUUCCAUUCACAUCAAGAUUCAUUUUCAAUUAUCUGUAUAUACAGAAGAUCGAUUCAGUAUAUAUUAAGUAAAGAUUUCAUCAGUUUGCACCCGCACAGAAACACAAAGUGUGAAAUACUGUUUCAGUACUAGUUAUAGCAUUACUUCACGUCAAUGCUCCCUUUCCUUGGGCCCCGGGGGCACAAGGUUACACUCCAAGCUGAGUUGCCAGUAGCUGGGAGCAUGCUCACUGGUUGGAAAUUUUCAGAUAUUUGCAUGUGUGCCCUGGAACAUAAAAGACAGUGGCAAAGAUCGUUCAUCCACUCCCAGCUGGCACAGGGGAAGGUCGGUGACCAAGCAAGAGUACAGAACAGUCUGACAGAGGGCACAGGAUUUGAUGAGCCAGGACACUGGGAACCCUCCUUCCCCUAACAGUUGAGCCAUCCCUUAUUUGCUGCUUUGCUGACGGAGGAGUCAGGGACAAAGCCUGUACUUCUGGGGGGAAACUCCCCGCUUCAGAGCCGGUUCUUGUGAGAAAGCUCAAGCUCGAAGUCAGUCACGGGGAGGAUUUUCAUCUGAGCCAAGCGCAGCAAGCUGUACUCAGCGCAGGUACCAAUCUGCAUUGGCAUCUACCGUGGGAAGCCC